GUGCUUGCUACGGCUGCACAUAUACUAAAAUUGGAUCGAUACAGAGAAGAUUAGCAUGGCCCCUGCAAAAGUGUGACAUGCAAAUCCUUAAAGCGUUCCAUAUUUUG
ensembl:snRNA U6 U6 spliceosomal RNA